UACGGGGGGAGCAAGCGUUGUUCGGAUUUACUGGGCGUAAAGGGCGCGUAGGCGGCCAGCACAAGUCAGUUGUGAAAUCUCCGAGCUUAACUCGGAAAGGUCAACUGAUACUGUGCGGCUAGAGUGCGGAAGGGGCAACUGGAAUUCUUGGUGUAGCGGUGAAAUGCGUAGAUAUCAAGAGGAACACCUGCGGCGAGGGCGGGUUGCUGGGCCGACACUGACGCUGAGGCGCGAAAGCCAGGGGAGCGAACGGG
rnacentral:rRNA from 1 species